GCUUGUCUCAAAGAUUAAGCCAUGCAUGUCUAAGUAUAAACUAUUUUAUACUGUGAAACUGCGAAUGGCUCAUUAAAUCAGUUAUAGUUUAUUUGAUGGUACCUUACUACUCGGAUAACCGUAGUAAUUCUAGAGCUAAUACAUGCACAAAAUCCCGACUUACGAAGGGAUGUAUUUAUUAGAUACAAACCAACAUCGUGGUGAUUCAUAAUAACUUUGCGAAUCGUAUGCCUCACGGCGACGAUGAAUCAUUCAAAUUUCUGCCCUAUCAACUUUCGAUGGUAAGGUAUUGGCCUACCAUGGUUACCACGGGUAACGGGGAAUUAGGGUUCGGUUCCGGAGAGGGCGCCUGAGAAAUGGCGACCACAUCCAAGGAAGGCAGCAGG
rnacentral:rRNA from 1 species